UUUGUAUCUUUCUACCAAUUGAAUCUUUUACCCAUUAUAAUUUUUACCUUUCUCUCUAUUCAAAAUAGAGAGAAAACCCUUUCACCUUUCUCCUUUUUUUAUGGAUUUUAGACCUUUAUUUGCCGAUGAUAUUCGGCCUUUCUCUGUCCAGCUGUGGGUUCCUCUCUUCCCACCAUCGAGUUAAGAGAUCAGUUCUCUUAGCUACCGUUUGGUCCUAUGGAUUUUGUAUUUGUAUUUUGCUUUGGUGCUCGUUACCUUGGUGCUCAGCUUCUCCAACGAAUUUCAGUUGAUCAUCCCAAAGACGCUCAGGACAGCUCCAGUUGGAUUGCUCCAAUCUUUCAUUGGCUACUCUAAAAGCCAAGACUAUGCCAUACUAGUUCUUCUUGUCGAAGUUGCGAUAGGAUGUGGAGAUCUAGAUAUGGAUUCUUCAUUGUGAUUGGUUCACCAUUUGAAUUGUUUUAUAUUAGAUCUAUUUCUCUUCUUCGCUGGUGUUAUUGUUCUAGUUUAAAACUCAACUCUUGUCUCCUUAACAGUGGAUUGACGGGCUUGCAUGUUACUCUUUCUACCUCACUAUGGGUCUCAAUGUAGAUUGUGUUGGGUUUA